CCACGGCCGCCAUGUCUGUGGCUUCCCCGGCCACCUUUCCCAUGUAUCCUACUGCAGUUUUGCCGCUUUCCACUGUAAUAUCCUUAACAACCGCUGUUUGUUCUCCAACAUAACCAGCCGCCUUCUUGGUUGCAUCCACUGUAGCAUCCUUAGCCUGGACCGCCUUUUCCACUGUAACAUCCUUGGCCUCUUGACCCUUUUCAACAGCGGCGUCCUUCAAGGCUUUAGCCUUCUCACUAGCAACUUGAGUUCCACUUUCAACACCUUGCUUGAC
rnacentral:lncRNA from 1 species